rnacentral:rRNA from 1 species
GGCCAGACUCCUACGGGAGGCAGCAGUGGGGAAUAUUGCACAAUGGGGGAAACCCUGAUGCAGCAACGCCGCGUGAGUGAAGAAGUAUUUCGGUAUGUAAAGCUCUAUCAGCAGGGAAGAAAAUGACGGUACCUGAGUAAGAAGCCCCGGCUAACUACGUGCCAGCAGCCGCGGUAAUACGUAGGGGGCAAGCGUUAUCCGGAUUUACUGGGUGUAAAGGGAGCGUAGACGGCGAUACAAGUCUGAAGUGAAAGCCCGGGGCUCAACCCCGGGACUGCUUUGGAAACUGUGUUGCUGGAGUGCUGGAGAGGCAAGCGGAAUUCCUAGUGUAGCGGUGAAAUGCGUAGAUAUUAGGAAGAACACCAGUGGCGAAGGCGGCCUGCUGGACGAUGACUGACGUUGAGGCUCGAAAGCGUGGGGAGCAAACAGGAUUAGAUACCCGAGUAU